UCAAUAAGUUCUAGCAAUUAUUAAAAAAGGAAAGGCUGUCUGCAAACAGGUGAUCUCAGAAGGGGGUUUGUGCCUCUCUAGGAAGGAAGCCUCAUUGUGGACAUCUGGGAGCAGGUACAUCCCAGCCUUCUUGCACAUAGAAACACUACACAGCACUUCAGCUGUAUGUUUGGGGGCCAUUUUAAACAGCAAAAUCAUCAACAGGAAGCAGAAAAUUGUAAAAAUUGUGGCACUAAAUAGACCAUGUAAAGGACACAUGUUUGCAAUAAGAAAGCUGAAACAAGAAGGGGGAGUGUCACCUUAUUUGAUCCAGCUAGAAACUCAGGUGCUGGUAUUCCAGCAACACUCAGGCGGCUGCUCCAGGAGGCUGCAGAGGGGUCCUUUUUAGCCGUCAACAAAACUGGCUAUGGUCACGCCCAUUGGGAAACUCAUUGCUGCCUUCAAGGACUCAGAAGCUGUAGGAAUAUUCAGGCACAGACACCAGACCCAGCUUCAUCUCUAACUUGUGGCAAAGGACAGUACAUCCUGGGAUGGGACCCUAUGCUCCCCUAUGCCAUUUAGACAGAGCCUGGGGAGAGUGACUUCCCAGGGUAUCCAUGUUGGAAUCUCUCAUUUGAUUCUUAUUCAAAUUUAGGUUCUGUCAAUAGAAGAUACUAAAGAAAGAAAGCCAGGAGAAGAAAAGGGACUUCUUUCUUCAAGGUCUAAGCUGUUCUAAUAGCAUUAUUCUGGGAAUGGCAUCUUCCACUCCUCCUAGUACAAAGAACCUGCUUCCUCAUACCCCGUCAAGGAACUGCAGCAUCCAGGUGAUGGCCACAGUGGCAGAACCUAGGAAGCCAAGAAGAAACCAGAGAAUGGAGACACAUGGCAGCAAUGGCAAGUCAUCAGACCCAGGAUUUCCCAAAGAACACUGGUCCAGGAAGAUGCUCUGUGAAAAAGUGUUCCCUGGUCGGAGAAAUUUGUGAAACACUUUGCAUAAUACUUAAAAGAAUGUAUGGCACAUCAAAGGUAAUAUGCAAUAAAAGAAUUCAUUUUUUUAAAACCAAGCAUAUGCACAACUUAUUUAACUAUGGAUUCGAUUUUUAGAUUCAUAUUUUUUGACCCACAUUUGUGGAGCCACAUCCAUAGAACAGAUUUGACCAUGCUUAUGGUUAUCAUUAAAAAAUUUUUUUAAAUUCAGAUUGAUUUUGGAAUUGGUUUCCCAUCAUAGUUCAAGUAGAUACUGUCCCAAACAAUCUGAAAUCAAGAAAUUAGCAAAUGGGCUUGUUGUUUGUGGAUUUGAAUGGAUUGAAUUCCUACAGCAUUGAAGAAAGAUAUAUUUUAAAGCCUAUUUUUGGAAAAAUACUCUUAGUUGGGUAUUUCAUUUGAUUUGGUACACAGUAGUCAUAAAUUGCCAUCUUUUUCUGCUGUACUUUAUCCUAAAUAUAUUCCAUGGUAUGUUUUCAUAAUUAACAUGCAAAUAGAUGUAUAGUUUAUAAUUAAUUUCAACUGGGCACAGUGAAAAUCUUGAAAACCUCAGCAUGGAGGCAUCUUUGUUGGUAGAAAUUCAAUGAAAUCCCCAAACAUCUUUGGUUUUGCAAUCCAUAAUUUGCAGAUUAUUAAUACAAUAAAUCCUUGUUGUCUGUGAGAGUUGGCAUCGUACCCAUGAACUCCUGUGUAGAAAGCCUACAAACUAAAAGUCCAAAUGGAAAGAAAAAAUCACGUGGUUUCUGUGUAUGCUCAUUACCUGCUUCUGAAACCAUAAUAUCUCGGCCUUUUAUAGAUCUUAUAACAGUCUCCGCAGGAAGCAGCUGCAGUCAUUAGCCAUAGGACAGACUAAACACACAAUCUGCAUGGAAGGAGGCCUGGAUCAGCUUGGUCUUUCAGAUCUCUAAUCUCAGGCACAGGAAAGCACCAUCAACAGCACCCUUUGUAUAUAUACAUAAAGGUAACAUAUUUUAUCAUUUAAAGGGAUUUGAGAAAUUGAAGAGGCCCAACUCUUUUUCUGCCUUCUUUGGUUUGAGGCUUAGAUUGCUUAAGGGGCUUGCCCAGGAUCACAUAUCUUGUAAGAGACAGAGCAAGGAUUCAAAGCCAGUGCUGGCUUCUGUGUCUCCAUUCUUUCCAUUCUCCUCCAGUGGCUCUUUUGGGAAGCUGAGGGAGGAACAGCAGCAGAAUUGGGUGGCACCUGCCCAUGCCCAUCAUGCACUGAGCAUCUUCAGGUCUGGCCAUGGACCCCUUAAUUCCUAAUCCAGAAUUCCUCCCAUCACUCUUUGCUGAGAAAAGCACUAAAAUGGAGAUAUUUGUUCCAAAAUCCCAAAUUUUAAUUCCAUAGAGCAAAGUGUCUUUAUUUUUAAAUCAUCCAACUCAUCAUAAAUUCAGCUGGAUUCAUUAGAGUUAAAGAAUUGACAACACCAAACAUUUUGUAACAGAAGUUACUGCUGCUUAAGGAGUUAGGGUUCACCUUUUCCAGAGCUCUUCAGUGCCAACCCAGCACCAAUAUCCCAGCGUCGCUGGAGGGAAUGAUGGCGCCCUGCAUUUCAGAGAAGAUUUAAAACCGAGAUCCUAACUGCUCAUCAUCAUUAAAAAUCUCCAGGCAGUUUUCAUAAGAGCAAGGGGGUGGUUGCCUGAGGUUUUGGCUGACAGUCAACCCAACUAAUUACAUUCUGUCUACUGUGUCCUCCCGCAGUUUCAAUUGGAUAUGUUUUUUUUUUUAUUUCCUGUCCUAAUCUGAAUGUAGGGUUGCUAUGUGUUCUUAAGCAGAUGCUGCUGUUCUUGCUGGUAGAAGAGGCUUUUCAGAUUUGUUUUUUUCCUCACAGAAAGUUUUUGAGACUUUAAAUAAAAUAAUUCUUCUAAAUGUUCCUAAGAUCCUGGCACCAAAUACAUUCUAAAUGCAAUGUGUGCAGCAUGAAGGAAUUGCAAAGAUAGCAAGUAGAUAAAAGACGUACUUCACAGGAGCAUCCAGCCUCCUAUAG
rnacentral:lncRNA from 1 species